rnacentral:pre_miRNA from 1 species
UUGAUACUCCCUCCGUCCCAAAAUUCUUGUCUUAGAUUUGUUUAGAUACGGAUGUAUCAAGUCACAUUUUAGUAUUAGAUACAUCCGUAUCUAGACAAAUCUAAGACAAGAAAUUUGGAACAGAGGGAGUAUAAU